CCUCCCUCCCUCCCUCCCUCCUUUCUUUGUUUCUUCUUUCCGUCCGUCCGUCCAUCCGUCUCUUUUUUAUGGAGGAGAGAGUGCUGUGUUUUUUAUUUCAUACAAGAUAAAGAAAUAGAAAUUCUUUCUUCCCUAACUUGCCCACUUCCCCACCUGAAGAAAGUUUCUGAUAUAUAUGCCUUACUGAGUACCUACUCUCUUAAAUAUGACUUGGAAUAAUUUUUGAGGUUUACUGACAAACAUAAAAAUCCCUUUGACUUUAAUGUGGUUGUUUUAUAGAUCACACCUUUUCAUGAAUGUGGAUAUCUUAUCUUUUUGACUUUGUCUCCAUUUAGUUUGGUGGUGGUGAAAUUUACUUGCUGAUUUUCUUUUAUUUUCCACUGAAUGAGGUUUGUGCUUGAAUGAAGAGUGUAUCUUAAACCCUUUUUUGUUUGGAUGGAUUACACUUGGAUAAAAUAGGCACCACUGUGUUGAUAUGUAAUUAAAUUCUUAACCAUUAUUUAUCUAUGAAUGUGACCGUCGUUAAAUUUAAUUAUAGUGUAUUCCUUUUUGAAUUUCAGUCUCCUGCUUUGUAAAAAUAACUGUGUAAUAUUUCAGUUUUUUUAAAUUUGUAAAUCCUAAUCAUUGUUAUCCAGGUUAUUAGAAAUGAGGAGUCAAGGAGCUAACUCAUGGUUCUGUACUCAUUUUUAAAAACGGUUCAUAAAGAUUGAGGUAUAUUCGGUGACAUUUUCUGAGACUGAACAUGGUGAGAAAUCGAUGCUGGAAAAUGCAGAUAGUGAUUCUAUGUUUGUUAAUAAGUUGCCAUCAUGGAGGUCAGAGAAUGAACAAAUUAAGUAACGGUAACUCAUUUUGUAGACCUUGUUCUUUGUCAUCUGUAAAAUUGAGCUGGAUCAAGUGGUAAUUUGGGCUGGGAACAAAGCUUUGUUUGUUCUAAGGUUUCUGAGCUAAUCAUUUUACCUUUUUGUUGAUCUUGUACACAAGAAUGAGAUUAAUCUGUAUUAUAUAAGAAAAGAACUGAGAAAUGUUUAUAAAAUGACAAAUUUGGACCACAGGUUUUCUUCAGCUUAUACAUAGUAUAGUUAAAAAAAAAAACAAAACCCUUCUGGCAUAGGGUCAUGUUCUGUACUUUUGGGACUAUUUUACAUCAGAGUGUCUUUCUGUUCUUUUUCUGUUGCAUCAAGUUUAUUUGAAAUUGUUUUGUGCCUAUACUUCAUGACCUAUUUCCCUACAGGGGUAAAGAAUUAUGCCAUAGUUUUAUUGACACCCUUAGAUGAAAGGUGGCUGUCAACAAGGUGAAAGUGAAACUGAGUGAUGAACUGUUUCAGAAUACUGUGGACUUGUAAAUCUUCAGUGGACUGCUUUUUUUUGGUUUAGUCUGCCAUCUUGAAAUGCAUCUUGAAAGCCCCCAUUUGUUGUGUAGUGAUAUAGCAGCUGAAGCAGGACUUACUUGCAAAUAGGUCCAUGCAUUUGUGUCAUGCCAAUUACCAUAACAUUUCCAAAGUAUAAAAGAUAUUUCAGGCUUAUGCAUGAUAUUUUGGGGUGAGUCUACCACCCCAGCCUUUCUCCCAGCAUACACUGAGCUGCCUUUAGGGGAGCAAUGGCAUGGUUGGUCAUACAUGCAUGUUUUCUGUACAUGUCAGGAUGGAGUGCCUUAGCCAGGCCAGAUGUUUGCUUUGUGUUUCUGCUGACCAAAGUUACCUAGACCUGUGAGAAGUUUCUUGUCAGGUUAUGGUAUGAAAAAUGUCCUUUCAUGCUUGUCAGAAAUUAAUUCCUCUAUAUUUGAGGGGGGCAUGGGAUGGAAAAAUCCUUAAAAUACCUGGAUAGAGUAUCUGCCUUUUCUGAUCCUUUACUAACAUUCAUGAUCUUUAGUGCAUUACAUAGUUUAAGAUUGUCACAGUUGACACUGCCAUUCCUCCAUUUAUACAUAAUAGAUGUAGUUCAUGAGUUUUAGUCUCAAGGGUAAUAGAGUGAAUAACUUCCAAAUGAAAAACUAAAUGGUCCUUGGCCUUUUAAUAAUAUCAUGCUUAAAAUAUUUUAAAUUCUAAUUUAAAAAAAUCUCCAUGCUGAUUAUGGUCUAGAAUGUUCUACUACUACUACCAACAUUUCAUUUAUUUUAAUAUAGAGGUAUGGGGAAGAGUAUAUGUCUAGAGUUGCCCAAAUUCUAAAUAGGUACCAGGAGCAUUAAUCGUGACCUGAAGUCUGGGCUUUGGGGGAAUAUGGAAAAGAAAAAGCAGGCAUAAGGUCCGCCGAAGGAGAGGAAGGGGUCACCUUAAUGCACGGUGCCUGUUGUGUCCAAUGGUCCUAGUGCAGUGCAGAGUUUAAAAUUGUCACAAUUUAAAUCGCUGUUCCUCCACUAACUUCAAAUUCAAAUGUGAAUUUGAAAAGUUCCCAAGUGUUCAGUUUUCAAAGAAUUUAUUUUGUAGUCAGUCAAAAAACAUUUGGAAUGUAACUUGCUUUCCAAAGUAGACUUUGAUUCUAUAGCCUGUGGAAAAUAAAAAGAUAAACUGGAGGUGUUUGAAUCAAAGGGCCCUUUUCCCCUUUGUAUUUUAACUAGAAGCCUGUGUGUAACUCUUCCUUUUCACUGUUCACCCAGCCUCCCUUUUGACUUGCUACACCUAGGACAGAGGCGCCCACUUGCUUUGUAGCGCCUAGGUCUUGCCACAUUCCGAUCUCCUGGAUUGCCUUAGAUUUCUUGACAUGUCAAGGACUGGGGCCGUGCCAGAGGGAACAGAGUAAACCCGAUGGGCUAGAACUUUUGACUUUGGGUCCCCAAAAAGCCAAAAACAAAUACAGAAAUCUUUGGUUGUUGUGUUGAUUCCUGUUUUCAGAGUGGCCUUUAUCUUGACCUCGGUUCUGGACUUGAUUGAGUACUCUAGGAGAUUUCUGGUCAUAUUAGGAUUUUCUUUGUCCUGUGAGGUGUCUUUGAAAGAGCAUGCCCUUUCUUGAACACACUGUGGGUGAAUAACCUUCCUAAGUUAGCUGCCAGUACUAGAACCUUCCAGAAGGAAUUUUAAUUAGUAGGCUGCAUUUGAAGCACUUUGACAUGUACAUUUUAAGUGACAGUUUUAACAGUAAAACGGUGUUAAACUAAUCACUGUGAAACUUGAAGGUGUGAUGCUCUGUACAUUUUAGGAAGCUUAAGUAAAGUUCUGAUUUUUCCUUUGUUAAUUAUGUAACCCAGGUGAUUUGCAUAUUUACUUUUCAUCUUUGACAAUGGCACAGAUGACUGACAUUUUGGCAGGCAGUUACAUUAGGGUAUAUGGUAAAUCAUGGUUGUGUAGCUUUUCUGGAGAAAGUGGUGACAUGUUAACUUCUUCCUUGUGUGGAACCAUGGGAAUGGGAUUUAUUGGCUCAUUCACUGCAGUGUUUUUACAGUGCAAAAUAAACAUCCACAUGCUAGUAAUAUGCUUUGCUCUUUAAUAAACAAAUGUGCAAGAGAUAGUAAUCUAGCUGAUUUUUGGGGGGGGGUUGUUUUUAAGCAGGGACCCACUCUUUAGUCAGAUCUUAAAUGAGCUAAUAUUUAGGGAAGCAAAAGAUGUUCUGCCAUCUGUAGCCCUCUCAACAGGUGGCCUGCAUGAGGAAGUUGUGUUAUAUUUGGUCAGAAAGGCCAGGGUCCCAGAAUUGGAAAAUGGUACAUGGACUGAUUUUAGAGUAUUUUAACAAGGGCUUAUCUCUAUAGGAAGGUCGUUUGGACAGAACAGAAGGAUUGUCUGGUCUUCUGCAGACCCAUUCACAUUGUUUUACUCUUCACAGAAUCAUUUGUAGAAAGGUAGGCUAAAUCAGAGUGGUGCUGUUUUUAAAACUUGUGAAUUGGAUCAUGGCCAUAUGGUACCUAAUGCUACAUGAAACUUAGAGACAGUAUUCAAGAUACCAGGAGUGGGGAAGCCUGGCUGGCUUAGUCCGUAGAGUGUGUGACUCUUGUUCUCAAGGUUGUGUGUUCGAGCCCCAUGUUCAGUGUCAAGAUUACUUAAAAAAAUAAAAUCUUAAAAAAAGAAAAAAAAAGAACCCCCCCCCCCCGAAAAACCAGAAAUGGCUAAAUGCUGGGGAUGCCUUAUGGUUCUUUGGCUAAAGUCUUCUCUUGAGCAGUUUCUAUGGGUAAUAAUUAAGAUCAGAAUUGAUUUUGUUUUUUUAUUAAAACAUACACAAUUUGCCAUGAGUUCUAGAUUCUGAUAUUCUUGACAAGCACUUUUGAUCUCCAGAGAGUAAGUUCUUGACCUUACUUGGGACAUGCUUAGUUAGUAUUUGAUGUUAUUAACCCGUUAUGGGGGGAAUUUUCAUUUUGCAAGACUUGUGAAUGUUGCAUUUUAAAUCUGUUUGAAUUACUGGUAUCAUUUAGCAUCAAACUCUUAACUGCUAAUUAAAACUACCCACAAUAUUAACCUUGUAGGUUAUUGCUAACUUACCAUAUUAGCUUUCAAGAGACAAAGUCCCAGCGACAUGUAAUGACUUGCUUGUUCCAAAAUGUGCCAAGAGAGCAGUCUUCAGUACUAAACUCCAGAUUUCAACUGUUUUAAAAAAAAGUAGCAUUUCCUCUGGGUAAUGGGGAGGCAGUGAAUUACUGCCCAGGUGCAAACUCCCUACCGCCUACCUUGUCCCCUUCCCCUUCCAUCCAACAUAGAAUCGGUUAAAUUUGCAGCCAACUGUAGGAAAAGAAGUUGGUACUUUUGUGAGUAAGGCUUCAUGUCCUGUGACUAAGAAGAGGUGGCAGGAAUCACGGCCUAAUCAAUUAUUGAGUUGUGUCGCUUGGGCCAUUGCAGUUUGCUUUCUGUAGUAUUCUGAAACAAAAGGAUGAUUCCAUUCCUUCUCAGGUACUGAGAAAACAACUCCAUGUGAGCAGCCGGAAUGUGUUUGGGACAAGUAGGAUAUAUUAGAGUGGAAGAUAAAGGGGAGCACAAAAUCUUUCAUUUUCUCUUUCAAGUAGUUUAAUUGAGCAUAUUCACAAUUGGCCUUUCUAGAACUUGCUGUGUUCAUAGUAAAUAACGUAGCAUUUAUUUUAUCUGGUUAUGUGUGGUGUGUGUGUAUAUACAUAUUCAAUAUGUACACAUAUUUUCUGCAUUAUAUGUAUGAUAUAUUCAUUUAUACAUGCAGUCUACUCUUGAUUAUCUGUAAAAUGGUAAGCCCUCAUUAGAUUGUUCUCUUCUUGUUGACUUAGCAUGGAGCCCAUAACUCUGUGAAGCCUCUUAUCUGGAACCACAGUCUUUCCUAUUUGCAGUUCAUCUCCAUCCCCAAGGAAGGCCCUUGAAAUAUGUCGCUUUCUGUUUCCCUUUCACCAGGGAUUGUGAGUGAGAAAGAUAGCUGCUUCCACCGGAUUUGAGGCUUCUGGCUCUGAACGAUGAUGUAGCCCAUUCCUGGCCCGAGGGCAGCUUGGGAACAGUUGUGCUGAAGGGCUCAGUGGGGGAAAAAAACCUAGCCCUUCCAGAAAUGGGGCUUCAUAACUUGCUUAAAUUCCUUAGCUGCAGUGUUGUGAAAUCUUAGAUAAUUUGAUGGCCAAAUAGAUUACAACUAUGCAUUUCACCGUUACUUUUGCAUCAUUGGUAGUACUGUUCCCUGUUGGUAGCCCAGAUAAUCAAGACCUGACUGUUUCUUGCCACUGGAUUCUGGAAGCCUUGCCCUUUCAACUGGAUUUAUGUUUAUUUCUGCUGCUGUGAACCCCAAAAGGAAUGCAGUUUGAAGAAGGUGAGGAGAAAAUGUCCGUAUUGUGACCCAGGCUAGUUCUCCAGCAGUGUGCUCAUAAUCCCCUGUCCCUCCCAGCCUCUUGGUUGCCCUAGCAGUCAUCCCUGCCCUUCUGUCUGCAGACCUCCAACACCGAGAGAGUGCCUGACGGCAUAGCAGGUGCGUCCUCGCUCUACUUUUUGGAGUAUUGCCUACCAGUGAGGACCAGACGCUGGAUGUUUGUGGAUCAUCAAGGUAGACCUACACCUACAACCCACCCCCAAAUCCCUCUCACCUGUGACAUUUGCCUGCUGCAGUCUCUUCAGGAACUCCUGUCAC